rnacentral:rRNA from 1 species
GGUUAGUAGGUUGGUCAUGCCUCUGGUAUGUACUGGUCUCACUGAUUCCUCCCUCUUGACGAACUGUAAUGUCAUUAAUUUGGUGUUGCAGGAAAUCAGGACUGUUACUUUGAAAAAAUUAAAGUGUUUAAAGCAGGCUAAGGCUUGAAUACAUUAGCAUGGAAUAAUGAAAUAGGACGUUUGAUCCUAUUUUGUUGGUUUCUAGGAUUGACGUA